rnacentral:lncRNA from 1 species
CCUUGGAAGUGAAUCUUCCAGUCCAGUCAAGCCUUCAGAUGACUUCAGAACCGUCCAUGUAAGCCACUCUUGGAUUCCUGACCCACAGAAACUGUUGGAGGCAUUAUCAACAGUUUCUAACAUCACAGACAGACAAACAUGUGCCUCCUGAUUGAAAAAACAGAACAUCACCUGUAGUCUUGCCAGUGAGAUCAAACUGAAGUCCAAUUAACCUCUGGAUCCAGCUGCCAAUUUGCAGGAAAUAGAGGAGAGAAGCAUCUGUUGAACUGCACCAUGAGUAUACACUCAGCAAAGGCCAAACUGUGGAAAAUGAUACAGGUCAAACAGCCUGGAUUCUUUAACAGUGAUGUUUCUGAAGCACCAAUGAAAAUGAAGUCCUGAAGUCCUGUGCUCAAUAUGAAAUGUUGGAAGUUAGAAGAAAAAAACAAAACUUGGAUCCAAUCUCAAGGCACUUUUUGUUUAAUGGGAAGAAGUGGAUUAUUUUAAAAGCUACAAAUAAAGUUACAUAAAAGUAGCAAAGUUGAU